rnacentral:rRNA from 1 species
UACGUAGGGUGCAAGCGUUAAUCGGAAUUACUGGGCGUAAAGCGCACGUAGGCGGAUGUUUAAGUUAGGGGUGAAAUCCCAGGGCUCAACCCUGGAACUGCCUCUAAUACUGGGCAUCUAGAGUCCGAGAGAGGUGAGUGGAAUCCGAGUGUAGAGGUGAAAUUCGUAGAUAUUCGGAGGAACACCAGUGGCGAAGGCGGCUCACUGGCUCGGUACUGACGCUGAGGUGCGGAAAGCGUGGGAGCAACAGG